UUAAUUUUAAAGACGUGUGGUGUACUUCCACAUUCAGUUUAUUACAUGAAUGUGGUAAGGUACAAAAAGGGAAUUCCGUGCAAUUCGGAGACUGUGCCGCAACGGUGAUUUUAGUUUACUGAUGAACUAGAUAAGUCCGGAGACCGACCACACCCCGAUUAGAUCG
rnacentral:ncRNA from 2 species